AUGAGGUAUAAAUGUUAUCAAAGCAGCACUGGCUGCAGCCCAUCCUUCAAGAGCCACAUCUCCAUCUCCAGAGACACGUCCAAGAAUCAGGUGUCCCUGCAGGUGAAGUCUGUGACCACAGAGGACACAGCCCUGUAUUUCUGUUCAAGACACAGUGUACUGUCCCAGGGGCAGCUGCAGGAGUCAGGACGUGGCCUGGCAAAGCCCUCAGAGACCUUGACCCUCACCUGCACCAUCACAGGAGUCUCUUUACCCAGCUGUCAUAUGCACUGGAUGCGGCAACCUCCACAAAAGGGUCUGGAAUGGGUUGGUGUAUUAUGGAGCAAUGGAAACACAGGUUAUAAUUCAGCUCUUAAAUUCCUACUCAGCAUCACCAGGGAUACCUCCAAAAACCAGGUUACCUUAGCACUGAGCAGCCUGAUAGCUGAGGACACAGCCAUGUAUUACUGUGCAAGAGACACA